ACGGUAGUUUAGUUUAAGAACAAAGAAGCGAACCGCAGACGGCUUCAGUCUUCCUCGCCUUCUUCUCUUCCGGUCUAGAUCUCCCAAAGGUGGCUGCUGUGCUGGCGGCGACCAUGGCGAGGGGCGCGCGGCACCCCCGGAAGCUUCCCGGCCGCAGAUCCUCCCCGUUCACGCUGAUCCUGGCAGCUCUCCUGACCGCGUCGGUGGUCCUCCUGAUGCUCCUCGCCCUCGGGAUCUUCUCGCUUCCCGUGAACUCCGACGGCCCACCCAAGCUAGACCACCGCCCCCAUCGAUCUAUCCACGAGAUGAGGGAUGGGAUGGGGGAGAGGGGGGAUCAGUGGACGGAGGUGCUCUCGUGGGAGCCCAGGGCGUUUAUAUAUCACAACUUUCUGUCCAAGAAAGAAUGUGAAUACCUGACUGAAUUGGCAAAGCCUCACAUGGAGAAGUCAACAGUUGUCGAUACUGCUACUGGUCAGAGUAAAGACAGCAGGGUACGGACAAGUUCAGGCAUGUUUCUUAGAAGAGGACAAGACAAAAUUAUCCGAACGAUCGAGAAAAGGAUAGCCGAUUAUACCUUCAUACCUGUAGAAAAUGGUGAGGGACUUCAGGUUCUCCAUUAUGAAGUUGGUCAGAAAUAUGAACCGCACUUUGACUACUUCCUCGACGAAUUCAACACCAAGAAUGGGGGUCAGCGUAUUGCUACCCUACUUAUGUAUCUUUCUGAUGUUGAGGAAGGUGGUGAAACUGUAUUUCCUUCUGCCAAAGUAAAUAGUAGCUCUUUGCCAGGGUAUAAUGAGCUAUCAGACUGUGCAAAGAAGGGUAUUUCUGUGAAACCUAAGAUGGGAGAUGCAUUACUCUUUUGGAGCAUGAGGCCAGAUGCCACAUUGGAUCCAUCUAGUUUGCACGCUGGAUGUCCUGUUAUCAAAGGAAAUAAGUGGUCUUCUACAAAAUGGAUGCGUAUCCAUGAGUAUAGAGCUUAGUUCAAAAUAAAGAAGGUACUCUGCUGCUUGAACCUACUUGUGUCUCGAGAAAUUUUAAGGUUUAUCAACUAUUUGUAGCUCACCUGAUUGUUGUUGAGGUGCAUUUUCACCGACACUAAAGCUGGGUUCAUGGCUUCUGGUUAUUCCUAGCUUGUUGAUUAGUCAUCAUACUCUUUGACAUGCCACUGUGUAAGAAAAUUGUUGUGGCACUAGAAGAGUUGAAGGUAAAUCUAGAUGACCCUAUUUAUCUAAUUCAUGAUAAUUUUUGGUUUGUGAUUA